GACGAACGCUGGCGGCGUGCCUAAUACAUGCAAGUUGAGCGAUGAAGAUUGGUGCUUGCACCAAUUUGAAGAGCAGCGAACGGGUGAGUAACGCGUGGGGAAUCUGCCUUUGAGCGGGGGACAACAUUUGGAAACGAAUGCUAAUACCGCAUAACAACUUUAAACAUAAGUUUUAAGUUUGAAAGAUGCAAUUGCAUCACUCAAAGAUGAUCCCGCGUUGUAUUAGCUAGUUGGUGAGGUAAAGGCUCACCAAGGCGAUGAUACAUAGCCGACCUGAGAGGGUGAUCGGCCACAUUGGGACUGAGACACGGCCCAAACUCCUACGGGAGGCAGCAGUAGGGAAUCUUCGGCAAUGGACGAAAGUCUGACCGAGCAACGCCGCGUGAGUGAAGAAGGUUUUCGGGUCGUAAAACUCUGUUGGUAGAGAAGAACGUUGGUGAGAGUGGAAAGCUCAUCAAGUGACGGUAACUACCCAGAAAGGGACGGCUAACUACGUG
rnacentral:rRNA from 1 species